GGGGCGGCGCAGGCUGACGCACGCGGGCCGGCGGAAGGCGGAAGAGGCGGCGCCGCGGCCUGCGGGGCCCGCACCCAGCCCGGAUCCCGGCCGAGGCGGGGAGGGCCACCCGCCGGGAGAGGCAGCGCGGCCCGCCCGAGGGAGGGGGUGCCGGGGGGUGGGGGGCGCGGCGGGGGCGGCCGCGGGUCCCGUUAGCUCAGGGAGACCUCGUCCUCGUUCCCGCGUCCCGUCAUCCUGAGGAGACCCGUCCCCGCGUCCCGUCAUCCUGAGGAGACCCGGUCUCCGGAAGCCGGUCGGGCUGAGGAGAAUCCGUGCUCGUCCCCGUCCGUGGGUCCCGUCACCCGGAGGAGACCUGUCCCCGGGAGCCGGUCAGGCUGAGGAAAUCCGUGCUCGUCCCCGUCCGCGGGUCCCGCCACCCCGAGGAGACCCCGUCCGCGGGUCCCGUCACCCCGAGGAGACCCCGUCCCUGGGGUCCCACCGCCCGGACGGGUCAGGCCGCAGAGGGAAAGGGGGGCAGGCUGGUCAGGAGGUCGGAAGUCGGGGUGCGUCUGGGAAGGAGGGGCAGCCGACGGCACCGGUCCGCACUGCCGCGCGUCCUCGGAAAGCUCCGUAGAGGAGCGGCCCAGACAGCAGGUGCGGAGCAGAUGGAGCCCGCGCCCGUGCCGGCUCCAAGAAGCCCCCAUACUCUCUGUCCCUGGAAAGGCAAGUGGGAUUUUUUUCAUGUCUUUUCUUGUAUCGUCACCUCAAAUACAAGCCAGUGUGAUACAUAAGUAAAAUGUUCUUGGUAUUUUGAUAAGUGUGUUUAAUUUUUUAAAAAACAGACUGUAGCAAGUUAAGCCACUUACCCAUGCACAAAAUUAGGAGUGAAGCCAGGAUUAUGUGUUACUCAGAAGUGCAAUCAGCCACUUAACGCCGCAUUAGAUGCUGACACCCCAGAAACAUCCACAUUUCCUCUGGAACCCACUGCAGGCUUACAAGGUUAAGAAGAACAACGCUCAUUGUAUUGUAAUUUAUAGCAUCGCGUUCCAUAUAUUUAUGUUCACCAUGUGCUGUUUUUAUUCUAAACAUGCUUGUUUUUAAUUUUGUAAAUGCCCUAGUGCCAGUAUCUGGGAUUCAGGGAAUAAAUUUUCACCCUAAGACAAUGUGGAGUACUAAGGGUCUGGAGUCGGACUGCCAAAUCUGCCUCCUCCCAGCUCUGUGCCCUUGUGAAAAUUACUGUCUUUUCAAACCGUGGAUUUUAUCAUUUGUACAAUGAGGACGUUAAUAGUACUUACCUCCCAGAUUGUUAUAGGAUUAAAUGAGAUAAUUUGUGUCCUUACGACACAGCAAAUACUCCGGAAAUGUUGGCUUUUAUAUUUAUUACUUCCACAUAACUAAUUACAUCGAUUUUAUGCUUGAGAACAUGGACAAGUUAUUUUGCUUUUUAAAACUUUAAAAUUCAUUUUCAUAAGUAUAAAAUAUAAAAUUAUUUUAUGUUUACUUGCCCUAUUUAGAAUUUUUAUUUACUUAUUUAUUUAUUUGACAGAGAGAGAGAGAGCACAAGCAGGCAGAGCAGCAAGCAGAGGGAGGAGAAAGGUUUCCCGCCAAGCAAGAAGCCGCAUGCAGGGCUCGUGACCUGAGCCGAAGGCAGUUGCUCAACCGACUGAGCCACCAAGGUGCCCCUACUUGCCCUAUUUAACUAUGUGUUCACCUUUUUUAAAAAGCGAAUUCUUUCAUUUUUUUAAACUAAUAUUAUUAAUGGCUAUCAAGAUGUUCGGCUGACAAAUAUUUUAUGUAAUCUGCAUGCUCAGCUCAAAUUCAGGCACUGGUUGACGUUAAAAUUUUUAAGUAUCGUUACUCUUACAGUAUACAUCUGUGCUUAAAAUUCAGUAAAAAACUGUAAUAUAUUCUUGGGCUCACAGCACAUGACAACUAAUGAUUGGGAACUUUCAUUUUCAACGACUUUAUCCUCGGACAAUUCACUUAGAGUGUAUGAUAAAACUUUUAAUUUCACCAAGAGAUUGCCACACAAGUGAGGAAAAAAUUUUUUAAAAUGCUGAAAAGGACAUGUCCCUGUGCUUCACAGAAUUUACAAAAUGAAAUCUCAGGAAAAAUGUUGUGAUUAAUAUACAAAGAGAACCCGUGGUGUGCAAAAAUGAUAAAUAGGUGGAAAACUAAUGAGGGAAAUACUAUUUUCAGCUCCUUUACAUUUCAGCCAAUCUGUUAUUGAUCAUCUACAGCUCAAAGUAGGAAAAUAUUGUCUUAUUUACAUGAGUCUUUCCAAAGUAAAGUGCUUUAUAGUAGAAUAACACCUUUAAUUAAUAUUCUGUUUAGUUGAGGCUUCUAUCUACCAGCAAUAAAAGGUAAGUUUUCAUUGCUUCAAGGAAAGUGAAAGGGAGCUCUGCUCCCGCCCGUAUAAUCACUAGCAUAUACUGGAAGAACAGCAGGCUGCAACAGCUAAGCAUGAAAUCUGUGACCUGAGCAGAGAACAGAUUAAUCCCUGCUUGGGAUUUGAACCUAUAAUGUUUACCUUGCAAUAAGGCUCUAAUCUGUUAAUUGUCAACUUAAAUGGCCUGGAAGAGCACACAGAUAUCUCUGCAGUCUUGAAGAUUUUGUUGUUGCUGUUUUUGUAUUCUGGAAUUAGAAAGUGCUUUUCGUUUUUAGUUAUGUGGAUUAAAAGUCCUUUUCCUUCACAGGUGUGGAUUUAUUUUCUCUUUCAACCAUAAUAUUUAUUAACAGGUAUACAGUUAUAGUUUUAAAUUGUAAGUCACUGGGAAAGUAUAAGCAGAUUUCUAUAAAUUCACAUUGCUGGCACUCUUCAAGUACAGCAGGAGUUCCCAAAUGCAUGGUGACAUUUUACAUAGUCAGUUGGUGACCAGCUCUGCUGAACGGCUGCUGCACCCUUUAUCACCAUACUUUUAUCUUUCCCACCUACAACAGUUGUUGGUGUCCAUUCUUUCUAAAGUCUGCAAAGGGCUGACUGCCUGUGUCGCCUUCCCACCACUUAUGAGAAUGCCUGGCAGCCUUCCUCACACUUCCUGGGCAUCCAAGGCCUCUUCCUCCUGACAUCUUUCCUUACUGACGUGAGACACUCAAGCAUCACACUCUGUCUUCACUCCCACCCUCACCCCUGGGAGCUGCUGAGGAGGAGGAAACAAACAUCCAAGGGUUGCUUUGGAAGACAAUACUCAGCAUACAGUCUCUCUUAUUUGGAUAGAAGACCUUCAUAGUCAUCCCUUAAAUAGUGCCUGAUGGAAUCUUCAAAAAAAUUUUUUUAGUCUGAAUUUUAUUUCUCAAUAUGAUAUGAAUCCAAUAAGAAAAAACUUUUAAAACAGCAAUUCCCGUUUAUAGUACAAAACCAUUUCAAGAUUUAAUGACUUAGAGUCUGGUUAUCAUUAAAUGGUGUUUGUACAAACCAUAAAAAAUGUUUCUGGAAGGAACACUUCUCUCACACCAGCGCGUGAAGAGCACCCAGACCCGACUAGGCUAGAGCACAUGAACCUCACCUCCUCCGGGACGCUGCAGCCUCAGACACGGGAACACACAGUCAUUCUUUGGAAAGUGAGCUAAGGUUCCCCACACAGAUUCUGCUGUCUAGGAGAGAGGUUAGAGUUCCCUGCGGAGCUACAGGAGCUCAAGUGCCUUGGGAAGGCAGGGCGAAAGUUCUGCCUUAAGUACAGUUGCGCUCAGGGUGGAGCAAUAGCCUGAACCUGGGAAAGAGCUGGAAGCAAGAAACAGCUGCUCCUUCGCUGCUCACCUCUGCUUCCUCCCAUCCCUCCCUGCAGCAGGUCCCAGAUGGGGGUGCAGGCAGCACCAGCCCUAGCUGAGGGGCUAAGACAUCCAUCUCCAAAUCAGUGCAACUGGGAGUGAGGAUUUCAGCACAGAUACCUCCAGUUCUGUUAAACUAGGAAACGCCAUAUUUCAAAAUAAACAUUUCCAUAUCAUUAAAAUAGAAAAGAUUAGGGGUGCCUAGGUGGCUCAGUCAGUUAAGCAUCUGCCUUCAGCUCAGGUCAUGAUCCCAGGGUCCUGGGAUCAAGUCCCACAUCUUUGUCUCUGACAAAUAAAUAAAUAAAAUCUUUUUUAAAAAAGAAGAGAUCAUAGGCUCAGUAAUUUUUUUUGAGAGAGAGAGAGAGAGAGCAAGUAUGUAUAAGCAGGAAGGGGGAGGAGGGGCAGAGGGAGAGAGAGAGAGAGAGAGAAUCUUAAGCAGGCUCCAUGCCCGGUACAGAGCCCAACAUGGGGCUUGGUCUCACGAUCCUGAGAUCAUGACCUGAGCUGAAAUCAAGAGUUGGACGCUUUAACCAGCUGAGCUACUCAGGUGCCCCUAGACUCAGUAAUCUUAUCCUAGCAUUUACUUUUCUUGAGAUGUAGUGUCCAAUAGAACUUUCUGUGAUGGAGGAAGACUGAGCUGUGCCAUCUAAUAUGGUAUCCGCUAGCUAUAUGUAGCUAUUGAGCACUCGAUGUAUACAACUGAGGAACUAAAUUUUUAAUUUCCUGUAGUUUUCAUUAAUUAGCUACAUGUGGCUAGUGGCUACUGUGCCAAAAGAUCUUGAUUCCUAAAGAGCUGAGCAAUUGCAUCAGCCUUGCCUCAUACUGGUUUACAUUUAAUGAAAUAUGUUCAGUAAAUUACUUCGUAACACUUCAGCAUAACAUCACAUUUGCUCAGUGCUUUAUAGUUUAUAAAUUGCCUUCUCUUAAAAAUCUGUUCAGCUCUGAUGGAUGGCCAAAAUAUAGAAAUUAUAAGAUAAGGCUCCUACCCUGCAUUUUAAAUUUUCCAGCACACAUCAUUUCUAUCACAUAUUUUGUAGAGUUCUUACCACCUAGAACGUAUACAAGAGAUGCUUUUCCAGUGUGUCAGUAAUCUUAGGAAUACUUUGCUCACCCCAAAUGCCAUACCCAAGUUAUUGCCUGAUCAGCACAGUGUGCACCAAGACUGGCCUCCUGGGGUCCGGGUAGAUCUGUGAGUAUAGCCCAAGCCUGCAUUAACCGUUGUAGCAGACCUCUCUCCCACGUUGCUCACACUGACUUAUACCCAAAUGCACAGCUGGUCAACUGUCUAAAGACUGUCUAAAACCCAGGCCUAGACAGGCAAGCUAGCAUAUUACACUGUAUGGGUUUUGGCUCUUACGUCACAAGCAGCAGAAACAACUCUCUUAUUUAAGCAAAAUGGCAUUUAUUAUAAGGAUAUUAGGAAUUCAUAAAUCAACUUGCAAAAGUUGAGGCACCAGGAUUAGAAGUCGGCAGAAAUGAGGGAGGGCAGGCACUAGUACAUGUAAAAAUACAUCUGGAGUGCUGAAGAUGACAUAAUGAACUGCAAUAUUCCCUUGUCCUGUGGUCACUUGCUUAAGAUUCAAAGUGAUAGAAGAAAAAGAGUUGAAUAGACCAAGCUUAAGUAAAAUGGCUCCAACCUCCAACCUCACAGUGAAAGGAAUAUGGCUUCUUCGGUUUUAAACCAUAUACAACUUCUGAGAAAGAUAUCUGUGUACUUUUAGGAAGAGAAAAGGAAUGCCAAAUGUCCAAAAUAGACAUGUGUUCAUGACAUACAUGAUAAGACCCUUCCUAUACGCUGUCCUUAAAAGACACAGAUACUAUAAAAUCAUGCCUUCUAAAUCUUAAGCCAGUGAUUAUAUAAUGAAUCACUGCUGAGCCACAUGUCUAAAGAACUGGCCAGUUCUAAUCUGAUUCAUCUGUCUUUUCUUAAAAUUUAUUUAACUUACCACAAAUUAAUUAAGAAACUAAGACCUGUA
ensembl:lncRNA